UGAGGAAUAUUGGUCAAUGGGCGAGAGCCUGAACCAGCCAAGUAGCGUGCAGGAUGACGGCCCUAUGGGUUGUAAACUGCUUUUAUAUGGGAAUAAAGUGAGGGACGUGUCCCUUAUUGCAUGUACCAUACGAAUAAGGACCGGCUAAUUCCGUGCCAGCAGCCGCGGUAAUACGUAGGGGGCUAGCGUUGUCCGGAAUCACUGGGCGUAAAGGGUUCGCAGGCGGAAAUGCAAGUCAGGUGUAAAAGGCAGUAGCUUAACUACUGUAAGCAUUUGAAACUGCAUAUCUUGAGAAGAGUAGAGGUAAGUGGAAUUUUUAGUGUAGCGGUGAAAUGCGUAGAUAUUAAAAAGAAUACCGGUGGCGAAGGCGACUUACUGGGCUCAUUCUGACGCUGAGGAACGAAAGCGUGGGUAGCAAACAGG
rnacentral:rRNA from 1 species